ACGGAGGGUGCAAGCGUUAAUCGGAAUCACUGGGCGUAAAGCGCGCGUAGGCGGCUUUUUAAGUCGGACGUGAAAGCCCCCGGCUCAACCUGGGAACUGCGUUCGAGACUGGGAAGCUUGAGUACUGGAGAGGGUGGUGGAAUUCCGCGUGUAGGAGUGAAAUGCGUAGAGAUGUGGAGGAACACCGAUGGCGAAGGCAGCCACCUGGAUCGGUACUGACGCUGAGGCACGAAAGCGUGGGUAGCAAACAG
rnacentral:rRNA from 1 species